GGAACUAUUCUCUAAUAAAAAAUUUAAGAUUGGGAAUAACCGUUUGGGCGGUAUGGUAUAUAGGCAUGGCUGUAUCGUUAACUGCAUUGUUUGAUACGUACAGAUUUCAAUUUUUAAGGUUUUUCGUGUACGAAUUUACUGACUGCUCUAUAAUGGUCCAAUAUUUGACGUGGAUUACUGUGUUUCGCGACCGAUUUCAUGUGCUUAAUGGGUUAGUGAAAUCCAAAAUGGUGAAUUAUAACCAAGACAGUGAAACAGUCAACUGCAUUGAAACUGUGCUAGAAUUGCACAAAAAGCUGUUAGCCAUCAUGUCGAUGAUCUACAAGUGUUUUACUUUACUUCAACUCUUUUCGAUGUUUUACACCUUAUCAGUGCUUGUAGGUCAAACAUAUGUUCUUUUGUACGUGAUAUUUGUUGCACAUUACAAUGGUAGUUUUGUUGUACUCAUCUUUGUUACUCUCCCAUUUGGGACUUUUUUUGCUUUAAAACUCGUUUUCAUUGUAAAACGCACAACGGAAAUGUGUUUUCAGGCAAAUUACACCGUUAUAUAUUACUGCACGGCAUAGUAGUAGAUCCUAAAAACUCAGAAUUUAGAAGCCAGAUAAUCUCCAAAGUGUUACAUUUGAUGAACAGUAACCUAGAAGUGACUGUGUGCAGACUGUUUAAGUUGGACCCAACUUUACUACACUCGAUGUGCUCUGCUGUAACUGUCUACCUCUUCAUUUUGCUACAGUUUGAUCUAGAUUCUGUUAAAAAGGCAGCUGGAAGAAUAUGCGCCAAUACGAGUUAUUUAACGAACACUUCUAAGUACUAGAGCCCAGUAUAAGGAAGAUGUUUAUAAAUCGGAUGACGGAUUCAAUUAUGUUGAGCUCAUUAUUUAAUUUGUUAAUAUUGUACUGUGGUUCUAUAGAUUGACAUAGCUUUAUCUGAAAAUGAC